rnacentral:rRNA from 1 species
UACGUAGGGUGCAAGCAUUAAUCGGAUUUAUUGGGCGUAAAGGGCGCGUAGGCGGGAAUGCCAGUCAGAUGUGAAAUCCCGGGGCUCAACCUCGGAACAGCAUUUGAAACUACAUUUCUAGAGGGUAGACGGAGAAAAUGGAAUUCCACAAGUAGCGGUGAAAUGCGUAGAUAUGUGGAAGAACACCAGUGGCGAAGGCGGUUUUCUAGUACGGUACUGACGCUGAGACGCGAAAGCGUGGGGAGCGAACAGG